GUACCCAAAAAUACACUUUUCUAUCAAACAUCUAUCUCCCUCUCGCCUGAUUCCCCUUUCUCGCCCAACUUCCAUGACCAUGACGCUGCCGCCACCGCCACCAAUUGUUUUGAGGAACAUACUAGCGCCACCACAAGCCAGCCACACCGUGAGCCCCCAGCCUCCAUGAUGGCCGCAACAGGCCACCAUGCGUGCGCUAGCAGCCGCCGCUACCGAACUGGCCUGGCCAGAUCUGGGCCCAAGCGUACAUGAGAGCAGCAGCUCCGUGCACCACCGACCACCGCCUCCACCGUACCUCUCCGCUGCAAGAAGGCACCAGCGCCGGAGCCCUGGAGGAGCCACCCCGCCGCCGUGUCCCCCACCGCGUAGACCACUACCUGCCUCCACGAGGUCCCCCAACUCGUGAGCGCGACACUUGACUCCGGGAGAAACGGAUCUCGCCGGGGCGGCCCUGCACGGGAUUUGACCGUCGGAGGUUGGUGGUGAUGGAGAGAGGGAGGAGGUGGAGCCAGCAACAUUGUAGGGCCGGUUUUGGUGGUAACACAUGCUCACCUUCAGUUCAAACCAACAACAAUGAUCAUGAACUGGUACCCUGUUUGUUUAUUUGGAGCACACACAGAUGAGUCGUGGUGCACACCAUUGCAUAGUGUCGAAGUAUGGGUUGUAACCUUCCUAUUAUAUACACAAGUGAUUUAUUCUGAACCCUAGUGCCACGGGUGUCUGGCACGAUUCUCUCACCAAUGGUUUCUAGGCCCACUACCUCGCAUCUGCACACAAGUUGCUUCGCUCGGGCCUGACGGUGUUGUGCCUCGCAGGCUACCUAUGUCGGCGCUUAAUCUUGACUGCAGGUUGGAUCUGACACAAAUUGCCUUAUGGGCGCGUAAUGUAGCUACGGUUCAGUUGUUGAUGAUUCCCCCCUUCUGUUUUCAAGAUAAAACAUGCAUUGAACAUAUGAUUAACUCUAUUUACAUCUAUGCAGGAGCUCCAGGCUUCCUCUACAUUGGCUUCGGGUUGUCAUACCAUGAAAUAUCCAAGCUCUGCAAAUCAAUUCUGCGCUGAAGUUGUACUGCUCCAUGACAAGUAGCUUCAGGGCAGAUAGAUAUGUACAGAUUACUACAUCAUCGGAGAGUAAGAUUGUGGUGGUGGUGCGGUCAGAGUGGAACCAAACUUCCUAUAGCGGCUCAGUCUAGUAUGAUCAUGCUAUCCAGCAAGGCUGCGUCAGGGGCUCAGGCCAGGCAUGAUGGCAAGCAGAGUGGAUUAGAAAGUUCUGAGAAUGCACUCAUGGAUUGAAAAUUUCUAAUGUCCGAAGUUGUAGUUCUCAGGUUGAUGAGAAGUUCAAUACUAGGUGACUACUUGGAUCCUUGGAUAAUUUAUGCUGAUCUUUGGUACUUGGAGGAGAGUGAAGACAGUUCACAGAAUUUUAGAAAUUUAUAUGCUUUAAAAUGUUUCAUUUUCUAGGAAAUUGAUGUACUCCUAAUAGAUGAUACUUGCAUUGCAAUGUAACAGAUUAUGCCAUUGAAUCAAUAUAUUAGUUUCAUUCUAUGAA